UACGAGUGCCCCGAGCGUUAUCCGGAAUCAUUGGGCGUAAAGGGUGUGUAGGUGGCUUUGUUAGUCUUCCGUUAAAUUCUUCGGCUUAACCGGGGGCAUGCGGGGGAAACGGCAAAGCUUGAGGAUGCGAGAGGUAUAUGGAACUCAUGGUGUAGGGGUGAAAUCCGUUGAUAUCAUGGGGAACACCGAAAGCGAAGGCAGUAUACUGGCGCAUUCCUGACACUGAAACACUAAAGCGUGGGUAGCGAAUGGG
rnacentral:rRNA from 1 species